rnacentral:rRNA from 1 species
GGGCCCGCACAAGCGGUGGAGCAUGUGGUUUAAUUCGAAGCAACGCGAAGAACCUUACCAGGUCUUGACAUCCCACUGACCGGCUUAGAGAUAGGCUUUUCCCUUCGGGGACAGUGGUGACAGGUGGUGCAUGGUUGUCGUCAGCUCGUGUCGUGAGAUGUUGGGUUAAGUCCCGCAACGAGCGCAACCCUUGAUCUUAGUUGCCAGCAUUCAGUUGGGCACUCUAAGGUGACUGCCGGUGAUAAACCGGAGGAAGGUGGGGAUGACGUCAAAUCAUCAUGCCCCUUAUGACCUGGGCUACACACGUGCUACAAUGGACGAUACAAAGGGCUGCAAACCCGCGAGGGGGAGCCAAUCCCAUAAAAUCGUUCUCAGUUCGGAUUGUAGGCUGCAACUCGCCUACAUGAAGCCGGAAUCGCUAGUAAUCGUGGAUCAGCAUGCCACGGUGAAUACGUUCCCGGGCCUUGUACACACCGCCCGUCACACCACGAGAGUUUGUAACACCCGAAGUCGGUGAGGUAACCUUUACAGGAGCCAGCCGCCGAAGGUGGGACAGAUGAUUGGGGUG